CGGAGCAGGAGCUGGAACUUGAGCGGGAGGGGAAGCGAGAGGAGCUGGAGGAGGAGUUGAGACGGGAGGAGGAGUAGCUGGAGGAGGAGAUGCGACUGGAGGAGGAGUAGCGGGAGGAGGAGAUGCGACUGGAGGAGGAGGAGAUGCAGGUGGUGGAGAAGAGACUGGAGGAGGAGUAGCCGGAGGAGGAGCGGUGGUGACUGGAGGAGGAGAAGUGGUGACUGGUGGAGGAGCUGAGACAGGAGGAGGAGUCAUUGCUGGUGGUGGAGUUGUUGGAGUCGGUGGUGCUGGUGUAGCGGUUGGUGGUGAAGACGGAGCUUGACCUCCGACGCCGGCGACGAGGACGAUACAGAUCGCAACGAUAACAAAUUGCCUACCCAUUCUUUUUUAGUUUCUUUCCUUGUUUUUUCUCUGAGUGAUUUUUCAGUGUGAGAAAAUGUAAAAGGAAGAAAGUGAGGAAUUUAUUUAAAUAGGAAAAGUAGGAAUCACAUCAAAACGCAAAUACAUAGCGUCGUAUUGAAGCUCUCUAGUGUGUAUAAUACAAGACCCACGAUGCCAUGUGAGAGUUGGCGGUGAUAGAUCUGUUGACACGUUGGCGAGUUUAUCAAAUUAUGAUGAUGGGAUGUGUAUGAGUUGUAUUUAUCAAAGAGCAUAAAACUUCCAAGUUACUCAAAUUUCCAAACAUGUAUUACCAAAAUUUAGCUUAGGUGCUUAUGUUAGUAACAAGAAAAAAGUUUUUAGGAUCUCACCGGAUACAUAAUUAUUGAGAACACCUAACGAAUUGACAAAAUGUCAAUAGAGGACAGAAAAAUGAUGGCAAAGUUGGCAAAUAAAAAUCAAGUGUGUGUGAUCGAGUACUUUGGUUGUAAAGGUAGAAAAUUCCGGUUGUUUGUCAAAGGUUUUUUCUUCUUCCAUCUGUUGUUAUAUUAAUGAAACCAAAACUGAAACAAAGAAAAAAAUACAAAUACAUGAGCUUAUCACCAUUUAGCUUCCGCAUGUAUUCUUUUUUUAUAUUUUUUUCAAUGGCAAAAAUACAUUCUAUUUUAUAAGUUUUGAAAAUUUUUAAUUUGAAAUUUAUCCACUUAUAUAUAUAUAUAUACAUAAUGUUGCCAUAUAAAGAUGAACGUAAAUUGGAGUAUAAGUAUAUAAGUGUGUAAAAGAAAGAUAAGAUUUCCUUACAAACAAAGUUUAGUCCUUUAUUUGGAAAAUGACAGUAAAAGAAAAAUGUUUGUUCCUUAUGAAAUGAGUAAGGGUAGAGUGAUGGAGUAGUUUAGGUGAUAGCAUGUCGAAGGUAGGGUCAGGUUGGGUUUGUUGUGCGUUUCGAUGGAUGCUUUUGAACAGAUCGAAUAAUAUUUAUUUCAAUUAUUUGACGAGUUUUGGAUUCUUAUUUUGUUUGGUGCUAUACUGCUAUUAUUAUUCAUGUGCUCUUCCAGACAGCACAAUGUUACUCCCACUUCACAAAUAAAUAUAUAAAUAUAGAAUCAAUUAGGUUUAUUAGUGUAUAGUUUGUAUUAUGAAAUAUAGCAAAUGGAUUUUUUAAAUUAGAAAAGUUGCAUAAAGAAGGAAAAAGUUUUUCUAAAAUGGUUAUUUUUACAUAGCAUACAUAUUGUUAAGGAUAAAUUUGAUUUUUCAAUGUAGGAGAAUUGUGUACUUGUACCAUAGUGCCUAUAAUUUUUUCGUAAGUAUAUUUUUUCCAGACUAAAUUAAGUUUUAUAAUAAUUUUAACCCAAUACGACAUAAGCAUAUAACACCAGGUCUCGAAUCCAUCAAAUUUGGAAGACCCAGCAUGAAAGGCUACAUGUUUUUGGGUUCCUCGUACUUGAUAGCGGAUGCCACACUAUUAGAGACAAGAAAAUCGGGAAUUGAGUGGCCAGGAGAAGGAAAAAAUUAUCUUUCUUAUGUCUUAGACCUAAGCUUAACGAUCUGGAAAAAUUGGGGUAUAAGAAAGAGUAACCGACAUAGAUACCUGAGAAAAGAAACAGCCAGCAAGACAACCUCGACAGACUGGUCCUAGUAUCAAAGGACCCAAAUCAGGUAUAAAUAUCUUCUUGAGCAGAAAAGCAUUAUUCAAGUUUCCUCAAUUCGAUAAUUAGAAUAUGAGUUUGACUGAUUCGAUUGCCAAUACUCUUGUAAACCCAUGAGAUCAACAUUUAAUGUUCAGUGCGUACACAUGUCAGGUGAUAGUAACCACUCGUGGAAUACAGAGAAAGACAAUGGCUCAGCAAAGGCUAUACCGCGUCAAAACUGCCAAACUCAACCCAUACGCUGAAGGCGAAAGAGACGCGCUAAGAGUCGGUCUCGUAGCAGGCAGAAGACGCCAAAAAGUUCGUAACACCGUCAGAAGCAUGAUGCAAGCAACAAGAUUCGUAUCUCAUCGUGAUGGAUCCCAGACCGACCCGCAAAAGCAACAACCCCAGGUCUAAUCCGGUAUACUAGUUCGGGUCAGGUAAAAUUCUCUAAAUAUUUAACACUUUCUAACGAGAAAUGGGUUCACUCUUUUGAUACCUUCGAGCUUAUGUUAUCUCUCUAGAUACUCAUAACUCGAAAGUCACCACACUUUCAUUUUCCGGUCAUCAUUCUGACCACUUUCUCACUUCUACUCUACGGUGGUUCCUAAACCAUGAAGCAUUUUCACCCACAAACUCUUACACUUCUUCUCUUUUCCACCUCAAAAGCCUACCAAACUCAGGUCUUCAUAGACUCAGCCCUUCUUAAGAGCUUUCUGCCAGCUUUUCUUUCCGUUUUCCAAUCUCAUUUCCAUUUCUCUGAUUUACCAUUUUGUAGUCUUUCUUUAAACCAUUUUCUAACUUGACCGUCGGAGAUCCAUCGGAAAAUAUCCCACCAUCGUAUUUUCCGAGCCUUCACGUUUAUUUUUUGUAGGAAACUUGCCUCAAAAAGACCAAAAAUCCUCGAACAAAAAUCAAGGCACAUAUCAAACACUUUUACGUAUAGUAAUUACAUGACGAGAUGAAUCAGAUACCCUAUUUAAAACUGUAGUUCCAAAGUUAGUAUAGAAUUUAUACCAAAAAUAAACAUGUGAUUUUUUACAGAAAAGACUGUAAGAAAUCUGUUGGAAAAAAACUUUUUCGAAGAUUUCUGACAGAUAUAAGAUUUUUGGAUAACAUUGAUGGAUUUAAGAUGACUCCGGAAACUACAUAAAGUAGAAACAUCAAUGUUAUAAAUUUUCUAGAUAUAAAAUAAUUUGUUAAUAUAAAUUUAUAAAAUAUGACACAUAUAUAUUAAAUUUUAUAGAUUGUGACAUUUAAAUAAAUUUUAUAAAACAAUCGAAAAUCUAAUUAAAUUCAAUCAUACAUUUUUUUAUCAAAAAAAUGAAAAAUAUAUUUUAAACCCUAAACUCUAAACUUUCAAACUCAAAAAAAUAAACCUCUAUUGCUAGCAUAAUCCUCCUUGAAUUAGAAUCUCAUAAUCGACAAUAAGAGUAUGGCCAUAGGUGGGUGUUCUUAAAAAAAUCACAAAUUAUUGUGUAAGAAUACAAAUAUAAUAACAUAACUAUCUAACAAGAUGAUAAUAACUUGAAUGAGACUACUUUAAACCCUAGUCAAGGAUAAACCCAACUUUAUUAGUGAACAGUAUGUUAUCCAAAAGAGAUAUCUUCAUAUAUACCAUAGGAUAUCUAAACCCUAAUUAUAAUUAUGGAAGUUUUGGGAGGAAUAAAAUAAGUGAGGUUUAAUCAUAAAAUUUAUAAAUAAAAAGUAUUAUUAGUAAUAAGGGUUCAAUGCAAAAAAACCCAGCACCUUUAUUUUUUUUGCAAGAUAACCCAUGAGCUCGCAAAAAUGCAAGUCAAUGUCUCCACACACGAAGUCACCCGUUAAACAGCCCAAGCCCAUAUCGAUGACGUGGCAUAGAGAGAUUCUGUUUAAAAACCAACAUAAGUCCAAACGCAGAGUUUAAGCAAGAGUAAAACGACAUGUUUUAUUAUUUGUGUUGUUGUUUUUACAUUCGAAAACGACAUGUUGUUGUUCAUUACGGUUACAUUUACUCAAUUUAGGGGAAAUCAUAAAUUAGGGUUUGAGUGAAAUAGAAUUUAGGGAAAUUGAAUUAAGGAAACUCAAUGAUUUGAGGAAAAUGAAAUCGAUUUAUGCCCUUGUUUGGCUUUAGGGGCUUUAAGUCGGUUCUAAUUGGUAGAUCUGAAUGAGAAAUCGGCAGCUUCGAAGAGAAUAAUCGGGUCGAAGCUGUGAAAGAGAAAUUGCGGAGACCAAAAUCUAUUGGAGGAGAAUUUGAGUCUGUCUAAUGAGGUACGUAUAUGGAACCUUUUAGUCUGUUUUUUUUUUCCUUUCGAUUUUUGGUAGAGGUUGUUGAACUAAUAUUUCGAUAUAUUUUGCAGUUUCGAUCUGUACAUUUUUGUUGGAGGGUAUUGGUCACCUGAUGACGUUUAUCUGGGUUGAGAGUCAUUUUGGGGGUAAACACUGCAGUGAAGGGUUUACCCUUAAGAAGAUUCUGGUGCUGGUUACAGGAUAUCUCGGGUACGAGGACAACAUGAGGAUGUGUUCUUGGUAUCCACCUGAUAUGCCGGAUAUGAAAGGGGACCUUGAAGACGAUGUGAUGCUGACGAGAGUGGUUCACUAUGGUGUCGAGACAGGUGCAUUAACUUUAUAUCUAGUCCGAGAAGAUGAUCCAUACAUUCGUCGACGUGUUGGUGUUGUAAAUCCUUCAUUGUCUGAAGACAAAGGCGAAGGUUAUUUAAAAGUAAAAAUUCUUGAAGAUGGAGAUUCUGAUGCUGAAGAUAAUGCAGGAGAGAAUGCGUACGAAGUCCAAUAUAGCAGUAGUGAUAGCGAGGGGAAUGGAAAAUCCAAAAUUGAUGAUACUAAGUAUCGGAGGUUUGAGUUGGGUCAAGAGUAUAGGAUAAUAGAGAGCUUAAAGAAGGCAGUGACUAAGUAUGCAGCGAAGCAGAAGAAAGACAUCAAGUAUCACAAGUCUGAUAGUAGGCGUUUAACAGCUGUUUGUUGUGACAGAAAGUGUCCUUGGAGGCUUUAUGCAUCAAUUAACAGCAGCUCUAAUCGAGUUGUUGUGAGAACAUUUCAAGAAGAACAUAACUGCACUUGGCAAGGUAAGGUCUCAGUUCUUACUAAUGCAAGAAUCGUAUAAUUGUUCAUUGAAGAAUUCAGGUUGAAUCCAGAAUAUUCUGCAAAUCAGUUGCAAUUGAAGAUUCUGGCCCGUAAUAUCAAUGUCACAUGGACAAUAUGUGAGAGGUCGAGGUUGAGAUGUCUACAAACAUUUGAUAACGAUCAAGCAGAGCAAUUCGCAAGGCUGUUUGACUAUGUGGCUGAGCUAAAAGAACAAAUCCUGGCUCUACGGUAGAAUGUGAGGUGAGGGAAACAAGGUGCUACAGAUUCUACACAUAUUUGCUGGACUAUCAGAAAGAUGGAAGUCAGCUUGUAGAAGGAUUAUUUAUCUCAACGGUACUCAUAUGAAGUGGAGGAUGACUGGUGUACUUUUAGUGGCUUGUGGCAGAGAUCUAAAUGAUCAAAUGUUCCCAAUAGCUUGGGGCAUUGUAGAUGCUGAGAACACACCAAAUUGGAAGUGGUUUUUGGAACACUUGGUUGACGAUUUAGGUGUAGGGCUGGGUAAUGGACUGACUUUGGAAAGCGACCAACAAAAAGAAUUGAUUGGGGCAGUGAAGGUUCUGUUGCCAUAUGCAGAACACAGAGAAUGUGCUAGACAUGUCCAUGCGAAUUAGAAAAAAAAACACUCUGGAGCAGAACUAGAAGACUUGUUCUGGGCUGCUGCUGAUCCAUACUGUCCGCAACAAUUUGACAGAGAGAUAAAAGAAAUGAAAGAGUAUGACCCUGAAGCACAUGCGAACUUGAAGAUUAAUGUCUUCUGUCCAUGAUCAAGGUAAAUGUGUUUCCCAUCUUUAUGUAUAUAUUUAUACUUACAAUAUUCACAGAAUCCUUUGUUUUCAAAUGCAAGGCUUUUUUUCCGAGUAUUCCAAUUGUGAUGCAUUUGAAAACAAUUUGGGGGAAUCAUUUAACACAGCUAUUAGAAUUCCUAGAACAAAACCAGUCGACGAGAUGCUUGAGGAAAUCAGAAGGAGGGUCAUGGUCUGUAACGACAAGAAGUGACUUCAAGCUGGUAAAGUUAUAGGAGAUUACACUCCAAGAUCAGUGGCCUUUCUGGAUCAACAGAUUGACCUGGCCAAGCAUUGCCGGCCAUUACCUUGUGGUCUUGGGAAGUAUGAAGUAGGCUACUUCAAUGACAGGUAUGUAGUGCAUCUUAGGAACGAAACUAGUUGUACCUGUAGACUUUACCUGGUUAGUGGAAUCCCUUGUUGCCACAUUGCUUCUGCUCUUAGGCUAGAGAGAGACGCUGAUCAAGACCCAAAGACACUUAUUAGUCAUUGUUUUACGGUUGGGAAACUUAAUAAGUGUUAUAAUACUGGUUUGAACCCUAUGAACAAUAUGAACAUAUGGGAGUAACCACAACUGUUAGGGUUAAUCCUCCUCCUUACAAGAGGCCACCCGGUAAGCACAGAAAGAGAGAGAAAGGUGAGAAGCCUUGAAAACCAAAAGGCCUUGGUGCCGGAUUUCAGGCUAAGAAAGGAAUCAAAAUAGUAAGUCCAUAUCUUUCUGUGUUUCUAUUUGUUUUGUGUUAACAUAUGCGAAGUAACUAUCUUUUGUGUUAUAUAUGUUUGUUUAGCAUUGUAGAAAGUGUGGUCAAGAAGGUCACAACAUUCUGAAAUGCAAGAAUGAGGCCUCCAAAAAAGCCACAUAGAAGACCACGUGUUCGGCCUGUUGUCAACGAAGCUCUCCUCCUGAAUAAUGGAUCUUCUUCUCAGUCGGCACAAAACAGAAAUUGGAUGCCUCGUACUGACGAUAUUGGUGCUGGAUCUUAUUCACAACCGACAUAAGGAGGUUGGGCUGGUGCUGGAUCUUCUUCCCAGCCGGCAUAAGAAGGUUAGACUGAUGUUGGAUCUUCUUCCCAGCCGGCACAAGGAGGUUGGACUGGUGCUGGAUCUUCUUCUCAGCCGGCACAAGAAGCUUGGACUGAUGCUGGAUCUUCUUCCCAGCUGGCACAAGGAGGUUCGGAUGGUGCUGGAUCUUCUUCCCAGCAGACACAAGGUUGGGCUGCAUGGUUUAAUUGUGGACCUGGAGCUUCUUCCCAGCCGGCACAAGGAACUUCUUCGUAGCCUGAUGAAUUCUUCCAAGCCUCUCAUCAGCACUACCUCGGAGGAAGCGUGGUAGACCACGGAAGAAUACUGCUGCUGAAAUACCUCAAGCUCCACCUAACCAAGAGACAAUCAGACACACUACACCUAGAGUAAGUGUUUUUUUUGUUACAACAAUGUAAGUGUUUUACAUUAUGUUUUCUCAUACUAAUAUAAGUGUGUAUUUCGCAGGAAUGUUAUGGUAUAUUUACAAGUCCAGACACAGGAGAUGACUACAUUCACCUUGGUAGAAGUGUGAGAGACACACGCGAUAACACAGUUCUUCCAAGAGCCUUUAGAGAGCUAGAGAAGCAAAGAAUUUGGCCGCCACACGUGCACGUGGCCGUGGCCGUGGUCGUGGCACUUCCCAACCAUAACAAACUUUUUUGUCUUCUAGUCGUUUGUUGUCUGAAUCUUAUCGAUGGAAACUAAUGUUCUUAUUGUCUUUUGUUGACUCAUAAUGUUCUUGUUGUCUUUUGUUGACUCAUAGUGUGCUUGUUUGUUUUUUGUUGGCCUUUUGUUAACUCAUAACUAAUGGUCUUUUUAUCUGAAUUUUAUCUUAUGUUAUGGUUAUGUAUGAGUUUUCAUAAAUUUAUGGCACAUUAUACACCUAUAAGUGAAACAAUCUCCAUAACAUAAAUAAGUGAACUAAACCUCAUAACACAAUAUGUAAGUCUUAACACAAGUCUUAGAUUGACUAAAAAACAUAGAUUGUCUUACAUAAAAUUACAAAUCAACUAAGGAAAAUUAACCCUUGCACAAAGAUUUAAGGAUUUAGCCGAUAGGUUUUUUGGCAUACACAUAGAAUACAUACCAACUACUUAACUCACCAAACAAACGAACCAAAUGAAAUCGCUGCAACACCCACCGCUACUACAAACUUCAGGUCCUUACGUUCCUUUUCCUUAUAGGCAGAGAACUCCUUCAAUCUCUCCAGCAGGUCAUCUUGUCUCAGCAAACACUGCAGAUCAGCAAUAUCAUCCUGGAGCUUCACAAAAUCAUCCUUUAAUGCCUUAAAAUCCUCAGUUAUUGCAUCAUCCCACCACUUCCAAACAUGGCAUCUUCCAUCCUAUUCAGAAAGUUACUUCAACUACUUAGAACAACAAUAAUCAAUUCACUUGUGUUCAAAGUUAAAAUGACCACUCACAUAUUGUUCUUGUAAGUGUAAAAACGCAUUCAUGGAUUAGUGAUGGUGUGAGAAGUCACAAUCUCGGUACAACAACCACAGAAACACUUGUCUGGAAUACCAUGGUGUCCACGACAUCGCAAUGACUCCACAUACAAACUCGAUGCAGCGAUGCAAACGAUAUUUCUUAUUCCUGCAAUGAAUACUUAAUCGAAGUCAUAAUUAACAACAUAUAUUUACCUAAUCCCAACCCAAAAACCCCUGUAACUCAAAACAUUUACCCAGUUCCUUAAUAUACUCAGUCUCGAACCAAUAGUGACAAAUAAAGCUCACAUCCGAUUUCAAACCCAUAACCCAAAUAUACACAACUGAACACUAAAUCUAAACCCCAAAGCCACUAGACACUAGCUAUUGAUCGGAAUUCUUACCGGAUAAGCAGCUGGGGUCAGAAUAUUUUGAUUCCUCUUCGUCUCUUUUCAUGCGAUAAACCCUAAGUUUCCCCCCAAAUUGAUUUGUUCCCCGACAUGAGACACAGCUUAUAUUUAAAAACAAAAAUCUUAUCCUCUCUGUUUUGAAACACAUGUUACGUCUUGUUUCGAAAACAACAUGAUUUGUUAUCUGUCAUUUAUAAUUAAAACGCUGCAUUUUCAAAACCAUCAGCGAUAUAACGACGACUUCACGGAGGAGCUGUUUAGCGGGUGACUUCGUGGGUGGAGAGAUUGACUUGCAUUUUUGCGUGCUCAUGGGUUAUCUUGCAAACAAAUAAAGGUGCUGGAUUUUUUUUCAUUAAACCCAAGUAAUAACUAGAAAUAGAGUCUAUAUUAUGAUCAAAAGAAGAAAUAGAAUCUAUUGGAAUAUUCUAUUUAGAGUACAAAAAUAAAGUAAUACAUAGGAGGGAAUUAAACAAAAUUCUAUUGUAAAGUUACUUUAUUUUAGAGUGAAAAAAUAACAAAUAAUUGAAGAUGGUCUAACGUGAGUUUCCUACAAUGAAAUGCGAUUUUGGAUGUAAAGUUGAGCAAUGAACGGCAAGGAAAAAGGCCUUGACGACUUUUCUAUAGUUUUGUAACAUAAAAAUGAGUUCGAUCAGUAACAGUAUCAAAAUUCUUGUUCCUCUGGUAACAAAGACAUCUUUAAUUUCUAGCUCUUCUCUAAACGUGACAGUCGCGUAUCUACAAAUUUUGGCGAAAUAAAUCAUUGCUACCAUAGAAAAAAACUACUACGCCACCAAAGGAGGAUACUCCAAAAAAUACUAUCUGUGGUAAAAAAACAGAGCUCAAGCUAUUCUUCUUAUCCUAAUCAAGCCUCCUUUUUCCAAUGUUGAUCUCGCCCUCAUGUUUUUCCUUAGUAGUUCCCUCUCCAUUAGCCUCCUUACUUCUCUUCUCCUUUUUUUGGUUUAUGGUAAUGGUGGGUUGUCCUCUAUGGCUCUAUUCUUUUUUUUUUUUCUGCUAGAAAUGUUAAUAUCAUAUAAAUGAUGGAAGGUGUUACAGAGUCUGCUAAACUAUAUAAUUGCGCACUUGGCAAAAAUGAAAUAAAAACAAGUGAAACAAUACAACACUGAGAUAAAGAAACAUGUAAUUAUCUAAGCCAAAGGGACAUCAAGUUACCAAAGCGACGUUUCUGUCUCCUGGCAGUGAUAAUGUUGUGGAUAUUGUUGUAGGUGGGCUGAGCACAGACCCCUUUUUAAAUUUGAUCCAGUCCAAGAUCCGUCUCUUGUAAGCCCAACAAACCCGAAGAUCACUAAGGGCCCAUUAGGUGAACGAGAUGAGGUCGUUUUGUUCAAAGGCUCCGUGAAUAGUAGAAGCAGCUCGCCCACGUGAUGACGGUCUGCCAAGUUGCCACCGCGACGUUUAGAAGGAUGGUCGGUCAGGUUUACCUGCCCGACUGUUCAACCUAUCCUGACCGAAAUGUAACAUAAUUUUAUUACUAUAAAUAGCCUUGUAACUUCAUUUAUUACACCAUCAGUAAUCAGAAAUAAAUGCUAAGAACUCGUUACUUGUAAAUAAUAAACCUCUGUCUCUUACCUCGCUUAAAGACCUCGCCAAAUUAAAUCUUAUGACUCUAUUAAUCAAGAAUCUCCGAGCCUCACUUCUAGUAUUUAUCGAAUUACCCUCGCGUGCGUAUACAAAACAACAAAUAUCUCGGUUGAUAUUUCUGAAGAUAGAAGGUGUUGGAAUUGAAACCUGAUUGUGGAGCACAUUGUUUCUCUGUUUACAGAGAUGGAAGAGAACAACUUGGCUCUAUCCUUUCCACUCCUCGUUAUAGGAGCGAUAACACAUCAGCCGAUGCUUUGGCAGCCCUCACUUCAACGACCGAGCCAAAUCAGUGAUACCAAUCCCGGUCGAAAGCAUUGACACGCCAAGCAUCAAUCUUCCUAAAGGAAUUUGCGCUAUCAGCGAGCUUCAAGCGAGUAGUAUUAACGCAAACGAGGAACCACUUCCCAAUGUAGUAGAUGAACCAGCCGAGCAGGAACCGUCAAACGAUGAUUGGAGGGUCGAGAUCCUACUUUACAUUGUCGAUGGUCAAGUAACUUCGGAUCGAUGGGCAGCUCGAUGCCUCAAAGCACGCAUUGUGAAGUAUAUCCAAUCGCAUGGAAAUCUCUAUCGUUGGAGCUCGUCAGAAACCUUACUUAAUUGCCUGAACGGCUAGGAAACGCACAAUGUCAUGAAAGAAACAUAUAAGGGAGCCUGUGGAAAUCAUUCAAACGGUCGAGCCUUGGCUUUAAAAAUUAAGAAUCACAGAUAUUUCUGGCCGACUAUCCUAGUGGAUUGCGACAGAUUCGUAGCUCUCUGCAAGCAAUGUCAAUGACACACCCUGAUGAUCCACGCUCCAGCAGAGCUCCUCGCGGCCUCGUCACCCCCUACCCUUUCAUGCAAUGGGCAAUGGAUAUCGUCGGUCCUCUCACUCGAUCACGCCAAAAAAGAUUUAUGCUCAUCGUUACCGACUACUGCACGAAGUGGGUCGACGGAGAGUCGUACUACAAAAUACACGCCAAUGAUGUGAAAAAGUUUUUCUAGAAGUACAUAAUCUGCCGACACGGUCAUCCGUACGAGAUCGUCACGAAUAACAGCCCUCAAUUGGACUCCAACGUAUUCGAGGAUUUCUGCGCCAAGUGGAAAAUAAGGCUAAGCAAAUCAACGCCGAGGUACCCACAAGGUAACGGCCAAGCCGGAGCGACCAACAAAACGAUCCUCGACGGGAUCAAAAAGAGAUCGGAAGCCAAAAAUGGUCUAUGGGCCGAUGAGCUCGAUGGAGUACUCUGGUCACAUCGGACCCCACCACGAAGAUCAACAAAUAAAACCCCUUUCUCAUUAUCGCACGGUAUGGAGGAUUUAGCUUCGGCCGAAGUCGGUCUGCCAACUAUCCGCAGAACGAUGUUGAUGCAAGAUGUAAACGCUAAUGGCACAAUGAUUAAGGAUAUCCUCGACAUGCUAGAAGAAGAGCGCAAUCGCGCCUUACUCUGAAUACAGAACUAUCAGCAGCAAGCUGCUCGAUAUUAUAACAAAAAGUCAAAGGAAGACACUUCAAAACAGGUGACCUCGUACUUUACAAAGUGUUUGAAAACAUGUAAGAGGAUGGCGCGGGAAAGCUAGGUGCGAACUGGGAGGGUCCUUAUCAGAUCACCAAGGUUGUAAAACCAGGAGUAUACAAGCUCAUGACAUUGCAAGGUGAGGUGUUGCCGAGGUCGUGGAGCUCGAUGAACAUUAGGCGAUAUUACUACUUCUAAAAAAAAACGCUCAUUGAGCUAUACUCGGUCGAGCUAUACCUCAAAUAUGAACUACGAUCGGCUUGAUCCCAGUCUGUUGGGUACGUAGGCAACCUCUUUCUAGGUACAGCUAUUAAUAAAUUUUUUUUUCUAACUUAUUGCUCCACAAGUUUUACAUCGGCAUCCUAGCUAGAUGCACGAUAUUCAAAUACACAUUUCUCCACAAUGCAAUUUCUCUAUAAAUCCUAAGCAACAAAAACCUUACGAAUAUAAAAGAAUAAGUCGGGGCCAGACCCACAUUCUCUCUUACAUCGCCCAAAUAAAUAUGUCGAACGCAUCUUCACUAUUCGGAUACGAUCUAGAGAGCAAAACAGGAUAAGCCGAGUUCUUACCUAAAAAAAGCAUCAUCUUUGAGCUUUUGUGUUUCUAGAGUCUUCAUUCGGUCAGAGAGACACUCGAACUUCCUGCUAAAAUCAGAGGACAUUGAUUCCAAUUUCACGCAAAGGUUAGAUUCAGCAAUGGGUUGUAGAUCAAGAAAAUCAUUCAGUGUGGUGUCUUAUCGAUCUAGUUGGAGCCUAAAUCAAUCAGCCUCAGCGUUUAGGUGCAGAAUCUGAUGAGGAAGAGGAUGAGAUGGUCGACGGUUCACCAGGUGUGGCGAAUAUGGCUCAUCUCGGUGGUGUGGAGGUCGCGAGUCUCCAUGGUGGUGGUUCGGAUUAGGGUUCCAAAGAUGAUGAUCAAAAUCACGCCUAGAGGGUGAUUCACAUGCGCAGGGAGCUUCACACAGGUUGCAGGACCUUCGCUCGGGGUUAGGGUUUCUCCUUGAAUGAUCCAUGCUUCAAAGGUUUCUGAAACUAGGGCAAACAGAAGAGAGAAUAAGCAGAAAAAGAAAAAGUUAGGGUGUUUAUGAAUUUGGUUUACUUCAUAUGUUGCUUUGGCAAAAACUCGACAUAUAUAUAGUCGUGUGCGGCUUCAACCUCCCAGGUUUAGACCUCCAGCGACUUCAUGCCUCCCCGGCAACGGCGCCAAAAACUUGAUGGUGAUGCGGGCCUAGGGUUGUUUUUUUAACAAGCCCGUUGGUCCUCCUUAAGUUUCAAAUUUAUAAAACCCUAGUGUCUGCAAGUGCACAUAUGUACGUUGUACGACUUAGGGUGUCGAUCCACAGGAAAGAUGUCUAAUCUGCAAGAAACAACGAACUGGGAAGUAAGCAAACUCAUAAACCAAUAAAAGAUUUGGGGUUUUUGGUUAAGAUCCUAAACUAAACAUAAUCUAAUAUUCAUAAGAAAUGUAAUGCAAUUGUAAAAAGAACAUCUAAAGCAUAUCGAUUCAAACUAAAGACUCUUGAACUCAUAGGUGGCGAUUUAGACUUCUCUGGGUUACUCUAAUCGAUGUAUGAUGGCAUUUCCAAUUAGCUUCUGGGCGAUUUAUUUUCAUCUGUUUCUGGGAAUCUGCAUUGAACUAGAAUAGACACAUGUAUGAUUAACCAACUGUCGUCACCUUAAUCAACUAAUCUCUUAGAUCUAGCAAUUAACUCUCGCUCUCAUGCUAAACUUAAGAUCAUGCAUUGGACAUUGAAUUUGUCUGCUCACAUCUUCUCUAUAGGUAGCUUUUGACUCCUAUAGCGACUAUGUUCUUCUGAAGCUAGGUACGGAUGAUCUGAUACAGCACUCUCGUGGCUCUGAUCGAUCCUAGGCUCAGAGAAUAGGUCAUGAAUCUACUCUCAUGCUUUACAAAUAACUUAGAAGAGAUGAGAUCCAGAAUAUGGCUAAGAACAAUAGAAAUCCUAAUCGAUAUAUAUGCUUGUCGAUAUCUUUAAAUAACUUGACUCUCUGAGACAAAUCUACAUGAUGCAAUGAAUGAUAAAAGACAUAGAAGAAUGCAAAAGAAUGAAACAGAAAAGUUAAUAAGAUAAAAAGGAGGAAGAACAAUGGAUCUGGGGAAGAAUUCCCAUCUCCAUCGUCUAACCCUAGAAAAACAAAGUUUGGUGGCUCAAAAUCUCAUUACAGGAGCACACACCUGUUUAGGACUGCUAAACAAUGCAUUUAUAGGUCCUAAAGUCUUCUAGGUCUCAUUUAGGGUUUCUCUGAAGAGAUGGCGAAGUGGGCUUUGAUGUUGGGCCUUGUGGCUCGUCCUAAGGUCCACCGGGGAUGAGAGUCUUCCAGGGCAGGUAAAACAUGUGUUUCCCCGCGGGUGAGAGUCUUCCAAGACUGGUGAACUGGGUCAACUUGUUCUCCAUGUAUCUUUUGAUUGCACCGUUGGAUUUUUGUGAUGUAAAGUGCUAUGGAAAUCUGGUUGUCUCCUCUUGAUUGUCUCCAAAUAUGAGCUGGAUCGGACGGUGAGAAAGUCUUCAUUUGAGGCUGAACUUCUGACGGUCUGACUCUGAGCUAAAAAUGUGGAUUUCUUUAUUUUGCCAUCAUAUUUCCUAAGUUUCCUGAAAAGAGCCUUGAAACUACAAAUACAUGUAAAUCAUAAUAAAAGUUCCUAAAACAAAGUAAAACCUUUGAAAAAGCAUUUGAAAUCAAUGGUGAAAAGUGGUCAAAAUCAGGUGUUAUCAACUCCCCCUGACUUAAGACUUUGUUUGUCCUCAAACAAAACAAGAUCAAAUAUGGAAAAAUAUCAUUCAACAAAAAUCAGAGGGAACUCAAAAAUAUCAACAACCAUACUUUUAAACCUUAAUUAUGGACAAUGCAUCAAUCAGAUCAAAUCUAGAAAAUUCUCACCAAAAUACAAACAUAACUAGUCCGUUAAUCUGUCAUGCGAAAAUCCACACACUUAGAACUAACUUCCAGUCAACUAGCUCUUAACAUUCAUUAAAGGUUUCAGUGGUUCUCAUCAAAAGGAUGUUAAACAAGGCAUUCAAGGUUAGGUAUCAAAAAGGCUUUUUAAUGGUAAGGCUGAUGUGUUUAGGGUUACCUUUUUCUGGAGAGACAUGAUAUUAUGCAAAAUAGCAAGAGAGGAUGAAACUGUAAAUGCCCCCAACACUCUUCUUGAUUCAAGAUUUCUGAUCUCAUUUCUUCAGGUUCUCCUUAUAUUUCCCUCAAACUUGGAUUUUUUUCCAGGUUGUAAUUCCAUAACUCCUUAAGUGAAUAUUUAUUGUCGUGGCUCAAGUGAUUUCGGCUUCUAAGCUUCUUUAGGCUUUUAGUUUUCUUUCCUU
rnacentral:lncRNA from 1 species